UUCAUUCCCAAUUGUGUCUAGACAAUUGAGGUGUUCCAUAUACUUUUCAAAUGAAUCCUUUCUCAAAUGGCAAAACUUGCACAUCUUAUGCACAUCUCUGAUCUACCACAUUGUAUCCCCUCCAUCCUCCAAUUCUUGAUCAAAUGGAUAAUCAUUUGAUACUUUCAAAUCACUCCCAAUUGACCUCUUAUUUGAAGAGCAACUUAUAUUUCAUUAUGCCUAUCUCACUCCUCUAUUAUUUUCCAUCAUCACCUUGACCUCAUGAAUUGAUGAUGUAUGUCAAUAUAUUCAUCCUUGUGAGUAUAUGGUUACUUCACUCACCAUCUCUCCUAGCCUUGCUCUACCAUUGUCUAAAUCACCAUCACCACCAUCAUCUCUUGGACACAUCUUUUAUCAGGUCAGAAUGUCACCACCAUCUACUUUAGCACCCUUGUGCAUUAGUAUCACUUUGCCUAAAAUUGUAUAUCUUUUUAGGCCACCAUUUUAGUAAUUUGUGAGGCACUCAACCUUGGGUGUCAUGCAUGUGUAGCAAUUAUCUCUUGUUGAUCACUUGUGCAUGGCCAAAAAUAUGUGGCCGGCCAUGCCAUGGCACACAUGCAUCAUGCCUCUCCAUUUCCCUCUCUCUCACAUAAUUACUCCACCUUGGGAUGCCUCUCCUCCUUUGUCCCUUCCCAAUGCCACAAAUAAAUUCAGCUUGGGUCAAAUAUCUCUUCCCCAAACCAGCCUCCCAACUAACCCAAUCAAUGAAGAGGCUACCUCCCAACCAACCCAAUCAAUGAGGAGGCAGCCCACCCCCUCUCCCUCUAUAUAAAGGGGCUUGGCAGCCCACCCCCUCCUCACUUGCUCUCACUUUUCCACUCCCCACUCUCUCCUCCACUCCCACACACUCUCCUCCUACCUCUCCCCACGAAAUUGCUGCUCCUCCUAGCUUCAUGGCCGGCCAUGGCCAUGGAAAGCUCACCAAGAUGCAGCUCCUUCCUCCCUCAAGCUCAUCCUCACCAUGAGAGCCCCCCCCUCCAUCUUCUCCCCAACCUUAGAUGGUUUAAUCUCCUCUUCUUCUCCCUCCAUUGCUAAGAUUGGAUCUUGAUGCAGGUGCAUGUUGGUCCAAGCAUGGAGAAGGUUGAGCUAUCCUCAGAUCUGAAGUUCUUGAGCAAAGUUCGUCCAAAACCUUGCAGUAAUUUCUGUUUCUUGCUGUUUCAGAUUCUGGUACGAUCUUGUAAAAUCCGCCAAAUCUCGUGUGCAGAUCCAAAUCGAGUGGUUCAAAGUUCUGCAGAUAGGGGAUACUUAGUUGUGCCAUGGUGAUACCUAGAGAGGCAAUUGCUAAGUCGUGGCACUCUCAUACCUUUACUAGAUGCGAACAAUUUCGGAGGAGAAGAAGAAGAAGUGGAAUCGGACAAGGAUUUUAUUUGUACUGUGGGAAUUCUUAUUUGAUGGAGUUGAAGAAGUCCAGGGACAAAUAAGCCAAGGCAAGCCAUCUCUUGAUCUCUGAAUGUUUAAUCACAUAUUGUGGUUACUUUGUUGUUGUUCUUGUCUCUCGAUCUAUCUUGUGUUGUUUCUACUUAUGUUGAUGGAGCAUGCUCACCAUGAGCAUGUUUAUUCUCUUUGACACCUCACCUACAACCCCCUUUAGUGAAAUGGUGGUCUUCAUUAUCAUGAUCUUGGUGUACCCUCUAAGUGUGAGGGGUAUGCCCACUUAUCUUGUGUGUGUCGACCUCUUGACACCCUUUUUGCACCCCUUAGUGGUAUGAUGGUUAGUAUCAUGCCCUUGUUAUACCUUCUACCUUGUGAUGCUAUGCAUACUUACUCCCAAGAGUGCCACA